GUUUGAGGAAGGCCCAGGAGCGAGCCCAUGGUCUUCCGACGCGGGGCCAGGGGCGGGCCCCAGGAUCCGGAGCUUCGGGGGGGCCGAGUCCGGGUUUGGGGCCCGGGAGGCGGGGCCAGUUAGGUCGAGGGUCCCUGGGAUCGUCGGGUCAGGCCUUGGGCUAACGUAGGCACUCUCGCAGUUCCUCCGCCUUCAGGAAGGUCUUUUUAGCAGGGGCCUUACGGGUGCAUGCUUCGGUCCUGGAGGACUUAGGCUAGCCUCCUCUCCAUCAGCGCCACCCGUCUGGGGCCCGAAAGGAGGGAGCUUUCCCUCUGUCCCCCAGCCUUUGGACUGUCACCAAACAAGCCAUUCGUUCACCAAAUACUUUUUAAGCGCCUACCAUGUGCCUGACAAGGGAUAUGUAACGGUGAGAAAAACUAGGUGUGGUCCAGGCCCUUCAGGGACUCAGGGGCUCGUGGAAGAAGUGGAUAUUGAAGUACUUAUCACACAAAGGAGGAUAAAAGUACGAUAGCGAUAUCUACCACGAAGCUGUUGUUCCACACCAGAACCAAAUGAGCGCAAGAUCUGACAAAAAAAAAAGUCCCUGUAUCCUGAGAUGGAGUCACCUGAGAAUCCACAGCAAGUCCUAACCAGGGAUGGGUCUGGGUGAUUAAGGAAGAUUGGCUUCAGAACUGGGCCAGGGGCACUGCUUUGCUUUUGCUGUUUUGAUCAGCUCUCUGCCUGCAGGAGACGAGGAAAACCAAUGGGAACAGAUAGGGUCUCUCUCUCUGCCACUCAGGCCAGAGUGCAGUUGACGCAGAGCAGGGGAGCCCUGAAAUGGAGCAUAGUGUGUCCGGAACUGGUGGGUUCUUGGUCUCACUGACUUCAAGAAUGAAGCUGCGGACCCUCGGGAUGAGUGUCACAGUUCUUAAAGGUGGCUUGUCUGGAGUUUGUUCCUUCUGAUGCUCUGAUGUGUUCAGAGUUUCUUCUUUCUGGUGGGUUUGUGGUCUCACUGGCUUCAGGAGUGAAGCUGCAGACCUUCAAGGUGAGUGUUACAGCUCUUAAGGCGGUGCGUCUGGAGUUGUUUGUUCCUCCCGGUGGGUUCAUAGUCUCGCUGGCUUCAGGAGUG
rnacentral:lncRNA from 10 species